AUUUUGGGGCUCAACCCCAAAACGCGUUGGAUACUGGCAAACUGGAGUUAUGUAGAGGUUAGCGGAAUUCCUUGUGAAGCGGUGAAAUGCGUAGAUAUAAGGAAGAACAUCAAUAUGGCGAAGGCAGCUAACUGGGCAUACACUGACACUGAGAGACGAAAGCGUGGGGAGCAAACAGGAUUAGAUACCCUGGUAGUCCACGCCCUAAACGAUGAUCAUUAGUUGAUGGGGAACUCAUCGACGCAGCU
rnacentral:rRNA from 1 species